CACUCAGGAAGACAGUGACAGGACAGCUGGGAAUGUGUAGAAACAGAUGCCAUUCAACAGAAGGAAGCAAGCUGAAGGGACUCUAGCCAGCCCAUGCAUCUUGCUCAAGCAAAGUACCUAAUGAUCACAGCUCUGCUGUUGACUUGGUUCUUGUAGGAUCAGCAACAGCCUAAAUUGUAAGAGACAGUCUCCACUUCAGGUGACCACCACACCACCUCCCCGCAUACACCCAGCAGUGUCUAAAGACAGAGGAGCCAGAGAGGCGAGGCACCGCCUGGUAGGGGUCCAGCUUGGAGACCAGCUUGGCGGAGGCCGAGAAGCCAUUCCACAUACAGUCCUGCAGGAUGAUGUUCUUCACGAAGGUCUCGUCAUCCGGGUCGCAGACGAAGCUCUGCUUCACCGCGUCUCCUCCUGGCAGCUCGGGCAGGUCUGCGAUGGAGAAGCUAUCACCGUCGUGGUCCCUGGGGGCGAAAGACACGGCGACCGCUUCGCAGGGAGGCGAGUAGAGCCCGGCGUGGCCCGGGGACGGGCGCGGCGUGGGCAGCAGCUCGAAUUUCUUCCAGAUGUCCUCGCUGGGCGCUGGCGGCUGCGGCGGCUGCUGGUGGUGCACGUCCUCCUCCUCAUCGUCGCACAUGAAGUAUGGCUGCACCGAGUCAUAGUCCAGGUCGCGGUUGCCGUUAGCGAGGCUCACGUGGAGGGGCAUGGUCGCGGCGUUGCGUUUGGAGGCGACCCGGAGGGGUGCAGGGCUGCUGCGGAAACCUGGCGCGCUGCGCAGCAGCCCCGAACCACUCCCCUUCCCAGACCCUCACUUCCGACAAUCCCGACAGUCCCUUCACCAGGCUCGGUCUCCGGCUGCAGCGGAGGGAGGAGGCGUCAGCUCGUCGCCAGACGCCACGCUCAAAGUAUCGCGCCACCUUACGGAGAGGGGCUAUAGGCGCUGCAUCCUACGUGCACAGGAUACAUUUUCGUGGACGCAGAUAACCUAUUCUCCGCAUACUCUCACUCAUUUCCUGCUAGUGUCUACCUCUCCACCUCUCAGUCCUCUUCGUUCGCCCAGUGACUCUUCUACUUUCAUGUCAUUUGUAACACGUGUGAUUUCAUGUACCUAUGAAAUCGAGAACCCAUGGAUGAAAAAAGCAAAGAUCUUGUCUCUCUGAGACUGACUUAAUUCAUUUAAUAUGAUACUCUCCAAUUCCAUCCAUUUCUUGCAAAUGACACUCUUUGCUCUCAUUUAUGACUGAAAAUGUUCCACUUCCACAUACGAACCACAUCUUUAUUGUCCGUUCCUCUGACGAUGGACACCUUGGUUCCGGAACAGCUAUUGUGGAAAUGUCCGUAAUAAACCCGCGUUCAAGGAUCUCUGUGGUGGCAUACUUGCUUCGGGUCUUCAAGGGUUUUCUUAAAGCUACACUAUUUUUUUUAUUUAUUUAUAUCAUUUUAAGUGUAUGAAUGAUUUGCCUGCAUAUAUGUAAGUGCAUCAUCACCUACAUGCCCAGUCCCCAUGGAGACCCAAAGAGGAAGACUGAUCCCCUGGAACUGUGUCAGGACAGUGUGAGCCUCUGUGUGAGUGCUGCGAACUAAGGCCCAGGACCUCUGGAUCUCUGCGAGAGAUCUUAACUACAGAGACCAUCUCCAGCAUCAUCCCACACACCUGUAAUGAGUAUAUGAUGCUUGCAUCUAUGAAUGGCUCCUGCAAAUUUUCUAAAAUGUAGAUACAAAUAUGUGUGAGCUACACAUUAAAUUUAGGCAUGAAUUAAACUUCUAAAACACUUUAUGAU
rnacentral:lncRNA from 1 species